rnacentral:rRNA from 1 species
AGAGUUUGAUCCUGGCUCAGGAUGAACGCUAGCUACAGGCUUAACACAUGCAAGUCGAGGGGAAACGAUAUUGGUAGGCUUGCUUCCGAUAGGCGUCGACCGGCGCACGGGUGAGUAACACGUAUCCAACCUGCCGAUAACUCGGGGAUAGCCUUUCGAAAGAAAGAUUAAUACCCGAUGGUAUAAUCAGACCGCAUGGUCUUGUUAUUAAAGAAUUUCGGUUAUCGAUGGGGGAUGCGUUCCAUUAGGCAGUUGGUGAGGUAACGGCUCACCAAACCUUCGAUGGAUAGGGGUUCUGAGAGGAAGGUCCCCCCACAUUGGAACUGAGACACGGUCCAAACUCCUACGGGAGGCAGCA